rnacentral:lncRNA from 13 species
ACUACUCAAUGGGAAAACAAUGAGGAUAACACGUUUUAUAAUGAUCUACUUCCACUUAAUGAAUAGCAGGUAUAAAGCAACAUGAAUGUUUCCUCACCACUACAAACUUGCUCCAAGUUCCUUGGUCUUCUAGGCUCUUGUGAGGAGGUAACGUUUUAUUUUUACAAAUGACCAGUGGAAAAUGGCUUUUGACUAUCAUCCAAUAAAUUAACUUGUGAGGAUGACUUAUGUGUCUUCCACAAGCCAAAUAAAUAAUUUGAGAUUUUGGAUUAUUUGGUAGAGUUAUGUGAAUUUAGCAAGAAAUAGUUAAUUUUCUUCUGUGUUUUGCAUUUGUUUUACCAAGAAGAGAAAGAGUUGGGCCUUUGAGCUUACUUAGCAAUAAAUGACAGACAAAUCCUAGCACUGGGAGUAAUUCCAUUUCCAUUUUCCAAGUCUGAUACUACAGAGCGAUAUGGCCUUCUUCCCACCUUAUUGUAUGAAAGUGCCUAUGGGAGUUACCGCAUCCAAGUUCACAAUAGAACACCCCAUUAGUCAUCAACAACACCUAUUAAAAAGCCAAAGAGUCUUAGAAUUCCUCUGUAAAAUUAUUCAUCUCAGCAUUUUUAUUUUUGACAUUCAAAAUACAUUUUCAGGAAUCCAAAUUCCCAGCCAAUACUAAAUCCCCAUGAUUUGACUCCUUAAACUCCCCAGGAAAAUACAUUCCUAGCUUCUCCUAAUUGUUGAGUAGAACAUCACAGGCAUGAUGCUCACUUCUCAUGGCUCGAACUUCUCACUGGCAGGUUGGAUGGAUAAUGAUACCAGUUCCUGCCCGCAAAGACAACAGAGAUGCCGAACCCACAUCUCUGUCUUCUUUUGGGCCUGCCACACAUCAGUCUUCUGCCUGAACAUUCCAAAGAGCAGCAUGCAAAGAAGAAAGCUGCCAUAUAGCUUGAAGAUGUUGAUCUUUCUCUCCUAUGACAGGAUUGUUUGACGGUAAUAGAUGAAAAGGUCAGAGUCUUUCUCUUCCCACUACCCACUACCCAACCAAGACACUACCAAACUCUUCAGAAUAUUGAAUUGUGGUUCAAACAUACAUGUAGAGUGAAGAUUUACUUUGAAAGGGCAUGGAUAUGAAACCAAAAGCACAGCCAACAAAUUAAAAAAUAAACAACUGGGAUUAUAUUGAACUAAAAAAGCU